GGGGGCGUAGCCCAGCAUGGCAAGGCGACAGGCUCCAGACCUGUAGACCGUCGGUUCGAAUCCGACCGCCCCCA
rnacentral:tRNA from 1 species